AACGAACGCUGGCGGCAGGCCUAACACAUGCAAGUCGAGCGCGCCCUUCGGGGUGAGCGGCGGACGGGUGAGUAACGCGUGGGAACGUGCCCUUUUCUACGGAAUAGCCUCGGGAAACUGAGAGUAAUACCGUAUACGCCCUUUGGGGGAAAGAUUUAUCGGAAAAGGAUCGGCCCGCGUUGGAUUAGGUAGUUGGUGGGGUAAUGGCCUACCAAGCCGACGAUCCAUAGCUGGUUUGAGAGGAUGAUCAGCCACACUGGGACUGAGACACGGCCCAGACUCCUACGGGAGGCAGCAGUGGGGAAUCUUAGACAAUGGGGGCAACCCUGAUCGAGCCAUGCCGCGUGAGUGAUGAAGGCCUUAGGGUUGUAAAGCCCUUUCAGCUGGGAAGAUAAUGACGGUACCAGCAGAAGAAGCCCCGGCUAACUCCGUG
rnacentral:rRNA from 1 species